rnacentral:tRNA from 2 species
GCGGGAGUGGCGGAAUGGCAGACGCGCUGGUCUUAGGAGCCAGUUCCUCGGAGUGUGGGUUCAAGUCCCAUCUCCCGCA